rnacentral:rRNA from 1 species
AUUGAACGCUGGCGGCAUGCCUUACACAUGCAAGUCGAACGGCAGCACGGGAGCAAUCCUGGUGGCGAGUGGCGAACGGGUGAGUAAAGUAUCGGAACGUGCCCAGUCGUGGGGGAUAACGUAGCGAAAGUUACGCUAAUACCGCAUACGAUCUAUGGAUGAAAGCGGGGGAUCGCAAGACCUCGCGCGAUUGGAGCGGCCGAUAUCAGAUUAGGUAGUUGGGGGGGUAAAGGCUCACCAAGCCGACGAUCUGUAGCUGGUCUGAGAGGACGACCAGCCACACUGGGACUGAGACACGGCCCAGACUCCUACGGGAGGCAGCAGUGGGGAAUUUUGGACAAUGGGCGAAAGCCUGAUCCAGCCAUGCCGCGUGCAGGAUGAAGGCCUUCGGGUUGUAAACUGCUUUUGUACGGAACGAAAAGGUUUGGCCUAAUAAGCUGAGCUCAUGACGGUACCGUAAGAAUAAGCACCGGCUAACUACGCGCCAGCCGCCGCAGUAA